rnacentral:rRNA from 1 species
CCUACGGGAGGCAGCAGUGAGGAAUAUUGGUCAAUGGGCGAGAGCCUGAACCAGCCAUCCCGCGUGCAGGAAGAAUGCCCUAUGGGUUGUAAACUGCUUUUUCGCAUGAAUAACAUUUCGGACGUGUCCGAAACUGAAGGUAAUGCGUGAAUAAGCACCGGCUAACUCCGUGCCAGCAGCCGCGGUAAUACGGAGGGUGCAAGCGUUAUCCGGAUUUAUUGGGUUUAAAGGGUGCGUAGGCGGCUAUUUAAGUCAGUGGUGAAAUCCUGCAGCUCAACUGUAGAACAGCCAUUGAAACUGAAGUGCUUGAGUAAUCUUGAGGUAGGCGGAAUGUGUAGUGUAGCGGUGAAAUGCUUAGAUAUUACACAGAACACCGAUUGCGAAGGCAGCUUACUAAGGAUUCACUGACGCUGAUGCACGAAAGCGUGGGGAUCAAACAGGAUUAGAUACCCUGGUAGUCCACGCCGUAAACGAUGAUAACUCGCUGUUGGCGAUACACAGUCAGCGGCUUAGCGAAAGCGUUAGGUUAUCCACCUGGGGAGUACGCUCGCAAGAUUGAAACUCAAAGGAAUUGACGG